AUCCCUGCCUGUCCUGGAACUUGCUCUGUAAAUCAGACUGACCUCGAACUCAGAGAUCUGCCUACCAUCUGCCUCCCAAGUGCUGGGAUUAAAGGUGCUCACCAGUACUGCCUGAUUAACAAGAUAUUUACUUUUUCAUAAAGAAUUAAAUCUUGGAACAAGAAAGACGGCAGUUAGUAAAUCAUCUGCCUUGCAAAUGUGAAGACCUGAGUUCAAAUCCUCAAACCCAGUAUGUAUCCAGACUGACUUUGAACUCGUGGCAAUCCUGCUUCAGCCUCGAAGGUGCUGGGACUUCAGGCAUGGACUUCACACCCUUUCUAAUGAUCCACAGGGAAUCCAUUCUGAUUCUGGAUACAAGCACCGUCCUCUACAUUAGCCCGGUUAGGAAUCUCGGACCACACACAGCAAGGAGCCCCUGUACCACCCACCCCUGAAGGUGAUGCCUGUCCUGACCUUCUAUGUGAGCCUCAAUCUCUCUGUGGGUCCUAUGUGGACCUCAGGCAGGAACAUCACUGGCAUACCACUGGUUACUUCCCUGUCCUCCAUAAGACACCUUAAAUAAUAAACUCAUUUUUGACUUCCA